GUGUGAUUACCAGGGCCCACUCUCUGUCGAGCAGAUUAGGAAUAAAGACGAGAGCAGUUGCUGAAAUUACGCAUGACAUCACCAUGAGAAGCCACGCCCCCUUGGCUUGAGUGGUUAUAUUUACUAUGCAUUUACCAAUGAUUUCAUACAGUUGAUCCAUUGAUAGUACCAUUUGAAGUCAUUUAAACAAUUUCUACGACAAGAUAGCGUUUAACGAAUUCUGAAUGGGGAACACAAACACCAAAGAUACAAAGCGUAAACGCAGUUCAGCAUCUAAGGGUGUUGCUUCCAAGAGUUCGGUUCAAGAGAUUAAGGUCGAGCAGGAGGUUCAAGAGAGCGCUAUGCCGAACAAUGGAGAUUCCAGUAGCCAAACACAAACAGACAGUAAGAGUUCACAAGACAAUCCAGCACCAAAUAGAUAAUGGUAAAGAGGCACCAUAGCGCAGGGGGCGCACUCUCCUAAAAAUACUUGCGUCCCCCAGUUG